AGAGUUUGAUCCUGGCUCAGGACGAACGCUGGCGGCGUGCCUAACACAUGCAAGUCGAGCGGAGUCAGUAAGAGGAAGUUUUCGGAUGGAAUCUUAUUGAUUUAGCGGCGGACGGGUGAGUAACGCGUGAGCGACCAACCUUGCACAGGGGGAUAACGGACCGAAAGGUUCACUAAUACCGCAUGAGACCACGGUGUUGCAUGACACAGGGGUCAAAGGAGUAAUCCGGUGCAAGACGGGCUCGCGUCCGAUUAGGUAGUUGGAGGGGUAACGGCCCACCAAGCCUAUGAUCGGUAGCCGACCUGAGAGGGUGAUCGGCCACAUUGGAACUGAGAUACGGUCCAAACUCCUACGGGAGGCAGCAGUGGGGAAUAUUGGGCAAUGGGGGAAACCCUGACCCAGCAACGCCGCGUGAAGGAAGAAGGUUUUCGGAUUGUAAACUUCUGUCCUUGGUGAAGAGAAGAAGACGGUAGCCAAGGAGGAAGCCCCGGCUAACUACGUGCCAGCAGCCGCGGUAAUACGUAGGGGGCAAGCGUUGUCCGGAAUGAUUGGGCGUAAAGGGCGCGUAGGCGGCUUUAUAAGUCUGGAGUGAAAGUCCUCUUUUCAAGGGAGGAGUUGCUUUGGAAACUAUAGAGCUUGAGUGCAGGAGAGGUUAUCGGAAUUCCCGGUGUAGCGGUGAAAUGCGUAGAUAUCGGGAGGAACAUCGGUGGCGAAGGCGGGUAACUGGACUGCAACUGACGCUGA
rnacentral:rRNA from 1 species